UUCUCACUGGUGUGCAAGGGAAUGUUUACAUAAGAUAAAUGAACUUUAAAGCUCAUGCCUUUUGCACCUAUCAUGUAUUUAAACUGAACAGGCUAAACUUGUUUUUGUUCACUCCUUAAAAAGACCUUAAAAUUUGCAGUUGCAUUCAGUGACCUGAUCCCGUUACCUUAGAGUCCUAAGCUUAUUCACGGACCUGAGAUGGAAUAAAAGUUUGAGUCAACUUUUUUUUAUUCCUCCUUGUAUUCUUUGAGCAACAAAAUGAGCGUGAGAGACUGCAAGUAACUAGUAGUUCUAAGACUGUGUUUCAAAAGCAACACAAAGAAAAUACCUUUGCAAAAGAAUGUAUAUGUUAAUCCAUUGGCACAAGGGAAGGCACUCAGCCUUACUACUCCAGAGUUGCACUGACUGGAUACAUAUGACGUCAGGAUUGCCUUCAGUCACAAAUCUUGAAGUGCAGCUUUGCUGGGUGGGUCUCUGA
rnacentral:lncRNA from 1 species